CGGGAGGCUGCACCAGUGAGGAAUAUUGCACAAUGGGGGGAACCCUGAUGCAGCAACGCCGCGUGGAGGAUGACGCAUUUCGGUGUGUAAACUCCUUUUAUAUGUCAAGAAAAUGACGGUAGCAUAUGAAUAAGCACCGGCUAACUCCGUGCCAGCAGCCGCGGUAAUACGGAGGGGUGCAAGCGUUACUCGGAAUCACUGGGCGUAAAGGGCGCGUAGGCGGGUUGGAAAGUCAGGUGUGAAAUCCUACAGCUUAACUGUAGAACUGCACUUGAAACUUCUAAUCUAGAGUAUGGGAGGGGGAGAUGGAAUUAGUGGUGUAGGGGUAAAAUCCGUAGAUAUCACUAGGAAUACCUAAAGCGAAGGCGAUCUCCUGGAACAUUACUGACGCUAAGGCGUGAAAGCGUGGGGAGCAAACAGGAUUAGAUACCCUUGUAGUC
rnacentral:rRNA from 1 species